CUCAUAUACCCACCUCAAUGCAACCUAUAAAUAUGGAUAAAAUCAAUGAUAUAAUUUGAUGUAAAUAUCGAGUGAUAAUUUUUUUGAGAUAAGGGUCAAAAAUCACCUCAACCUACUUGAACUAUCAGGUAGAAAAUUAAAAAAUAAAGUGAUACUUGAGGUGUAUUUUUGACCCUUAAAUUUUCAUUUUUAAAUACCUGUGCAAUGCUCUUUUGUUUAUGAAUAGCAAUGUCUUUUAGAACAGGGUUUUGCAUUACAGCAUGAUUGCCCCAGACAGGUAUCCCAUUAGCUCCAAGUGGAGACCAUGCACUUACAAGUAUU